UACGUAGGGUGCAAGCGUUGUCCGGAAUUAUUGGGCGUAAAGAGCUCGUAGGCGGUCUGUCGCGUCUGCUGUGAAAACUCGGGGCUUAACCCCGGCCUGCAGUGGGUACGGGCAGACUAGAGUGCGGUAGGGGAGACUGGAAUUCUGGUGUAGCGGUGAAAUGCGCAGAUAUCAGGAGGAACACCGGUGGCGAAGGCGGGGUCUCUGGGGCCGUAACUGACGCUGAGGAGCGAAAGCAUGGGGGAGCGAACAGG
rnacentral:rRNA from 1 species